rnacentral:rRNA from 1 species
AGCAGCAGCCGCGGUAAUACGUAGGUGGCAAGCGUUGUCCGGAAUUAUUGGGCGUAAAGGGCUCGCAGGCGGUUUCUUAAGUCUGAUGUGAAAGCCCCCGGCUCAACCGGGGAGGGUCAUUGGAAACUGGGGAACUUGAGUGCAGAAGAGGAGAGUGGAAUUCCACGUGUAGCGGUGAAAUGCGUAGAGAUGUGGAGGAACACCAGUGGCGAAGGCGACUCUCUGGUCUGUAACUGACGCUGAGGAGCGAAAGCGUGGGGAGCGAACAGGAUUAGAUACCCGCGUAGUCCCUGUCUCUUAUAA